UAAACAACAACAACCACCUCCCCAUACAGAUGCAUUAUGUUUGGCUACAGUUGUAUACGAACCCAUUGUCUAUAUAUACCUCAAGUUUUUCCAAUACCAUUUUUUCACCAUUAGUGUGAAGUUCAGAAUAAUUAUCCUGUAAUGCACCUGAUAGUAUGCGGCUUUUCUGAAAAUCAUGUGAGUUCCUCUCUCAACUAUCUCAUCUUUAGAUAUUGGCAUCGCUUACAUUGUAUCUUAUGGUACCAUUAAAAACCAGUAGUGACAUUUAAAGGAAUGAGAAAAAUAUUGAAAAGUGAUUUAAAAAACCCCAUUUAAGUGAAGACAAGUAAAGCCUUCCUUUCCUCUUCCCCUCCCCCCACAACCUCUCCGCUUCCUGGCCACAGGAAGAGAUCCAGUGGAGGGGCUGGGAAUCCUCCAUUCAGGAGAGCACUAAAAAUCGUUACAAGCAGUGAUUUUUUUUUCCUAGAAAAAUACUCAAGGUACUCACCAUGAAGUUGUUACAGUAAGUAUCACACUAUUUAACAACAACAGAAAGAGAUGCCAGUACUGCGAACUCUUGAGUACCCCCCGGGGAAAAAGCACGGGACCAGCACAGGAAAAAAAGAAAGUGCUGAGCAAAUUGCAGGCAUGGAAAGUGUAUUCAUAUAAGGAUCUGUGUAGAUUUAAAUACAGAAUUGGUGCUGGAAUAAGGAAGAAAACAUGAACAAGGUGUUAGACAAGCUUUAGAGUGUAGAAAUUUGUAGCUUUUAAAUUUAUGGUUUUUUGGCGGACUUCCCCUCCAUGCAAUAAAUCUGCUAUGAAAGGACUAACUGUGCCUAGAGAAGAAGGCAGAAGAUGCUUCACUCACGUGCUUUCUGGAUCUAAUAUUAAGGCAGGCUAGAAUUUGAACUUGUCUACAUUUUAACAUGUAUUUGUCACAAAACUUUAUUUGUUAUUCUCUUAAUAAAUAUACUAUAUACCACUUGA